AUCGAUCUCAGAGCCUGUACAAGCCAGGUGGACUUGCCCUCAUCACCCUCCAGCCUGAGGAAGAUAUGAGCCUUCCUCAUAUCUUCUAUGCUUCUCUGUGUCAGCACCGCCCUCCACUGGCCGGGUCCCAUUAACAGGAUCUUGCUGGACGCUUCCCACCAUGCUUUGCGUACUCAGGCCUGCCUCAGGAAGGAUCUGGGCUAUCCGUAAAACAGCAGGAAACAUUCUUCUCACUGUCACCCCACUUUAUCCAAACCAUAAAGGGGGUGCCCAGGCAGAGUCUUCAGACCGAUGCUCUCAAGGCACCUCUGCCUCCAGCAGGGAGUAUCCAGUUGCAGACCUGAAGGCCAGAGGCACCCUAGGAUAUGGUGACAGAGUGGAUGUGCAUCCUCAUGUGGAAGAAAGUUCUUGUUCUAUACAGCUCCCAAGUCCUCCAACCCUACCCCACGGAAACCUGUUCCUUCAGGAAACCCACACACAGUAGGCCAGCAACAGGAGUCUCCAUGACUACUCCAACCUAACCCACCUCAUUUCCUCACAUGAAAACGAAAGGCAGGGCUGAGAGCCCUGAUCUGCGGAGGCUUGUGUUCAGGCUCGUCCGGAUGGAAUAUUAACCACACCCACUAGCACAAUAUACCAGCUUUAAAGUGUUUUCCGAAAGAAUUCACGUAAAAGAAAAAAAUGACAGUGUACAUCUCCUCCUCGGUGCGUCUGUAAUGUUCCAGAACCUACAGAGAACAAUGAGACAAGAGGCCACCUCAUAGACAAGCUUGGCCGGCUCUCAACACUGUGACCCACAACCUUAGCGGGAAGUGUGGCCUGGCAUGAACUUAGCCACGAGUGGCUCUGAGCUUCCAGAAGUUGUUAAGGUCUGUUAUUAAACUAGGUGUGGACAGCCUUACGU
rnacentral:lncRNA from 1 species